GAACAUGGGCACUCAUCUCUCACCCACAUUUACUGAAUCCACUUCUCUCCUUUUAGAAGAGUGUAUGCUCGGAGGACAAACCACCCCUAGGUGAAGCUGCCCUGACGUCUGCAGGCUGUGGGCUCCUGUCCCACACAGAUUUCCUGCCCUGAGCUUCCUAAGAUAGGACCCACCUCAAAAAUCUUGCCUACAAGGGAUAUUUAUUUUGGCCUUUCUCAUAAACAUUGAAACCAACUUGAUAUCAGAAUUAAGAGGAGCUGGCUAAGGGGAGAGCAUCAGCUGUGAACGCAUGAGAAUGACGAGCCGGGUCCAUCCUGCUGCAACUUCCACCAGGGGCUCAGGCCAACGGGGAUAGGGAAGGAGGAGACACAUUUGCGAACAUUUCUGAGAGCACUCAGCCCGGGUUGGAGGAAGAGAGUGCCAGGAUGGAGAGAGGACAGUGGAGACGCACAAUGUGAUCCGUUCCUGCAGCUGCAUCUGGGGGAUGAAGGUGGAGAUGUCCCUGAAUUUAAUUCCCAAAAAGUAGGUGACUUUUGACAGAGCAAUUCUAGGAGGUGGAGGGGGUCA
rnacentral:lncRNA from 1 species